rnacentral:rRNA from 1 species
UGCCAGCCGCCGCGGUAAUACGGAGGGGGUUAGCGUUGUUCGGAAUUACUGGGCGUAAAGCGUACGUAGGCGGAUUAAUAAGUUAGAGGUGAAAUCCCAGGGCUCAACCCUGGAAUUGCUUUUAAAACUUCUGUUCUGGAAUUCAGGAGAGGAAAAUGGAAUAUCCAGUGUAGAGGUGAAAUUCGUAGAUAUUGGAUGGAACACCAGUGGCGAAGGCGGCUCACUGGCUCGAUACUGACGCUGAAGUGCGAAAGCGUGGGGAGCAAACAGGAUUAGAUA